CGAAUGGUUGCAUAGAAUAAUAUUUAUGUUAUAUUUUGUGAUUGAUUUAUUUCCGAAACUAUUAUCAACAGACAAUAUGGCUGAAUCCGUCAUUGACUUAAGUGAGUAAUUUAUGGUUAAAAGAAUAACCGUAUUUACGUGUAUUUGUGUAUUCGAUAUUUAGAUUUGCUUUCUUAUUUUUACUUACAGGCAUACUUCAAGAAAAAAAUAGAAGAAUUGCAUUCGGUAAAUAAUUAAAACUAAAAUUAAAACCAAGAUUAAUGAUGUAUCCUAUGUAAAUUCGAUGACUGCGCAAUUUCGUAUUAUCGCAUAUUAUAUCGAACGUUUCUCGUUGUUUGCACCCGUCACAUAUGUGGGUGCAAAUGUAUAGUCUAGUCAAAUGAAAUAUCGAAAUCCAAUAUCACGUAAAAUCUUAAUGGCACACGAAUAAUUCAAUAAUAUUGGUAUAUUUUAAAAUUCUCAAGAAACUGGGGUGAAGGUGCUAACCAUAUACAGCUUAUUUAAUCUAUUCUAAUUCAAUGCGGUGGUCCACUUAUAUAGUUGCGGACCUGAAAAGGUUUACAAAUUAAAUACAUACCAACACUUUACAACAGUGGUUCUUCUGGUAAAUAUUGAUUAUGAUAACAUGAGAUAUUUUGUAAAAAAAGGUAUUGGUAGCAGUCCGUAAUUGUUCAAAGUCUUUCAUCGGGGGUCCGAAUGCACCAAAAGUUUAAGAACUGCUGCUUUACAAUAAUAACAAUUAUUAAUGUUCAAGAUUAUACAUUAUUUAUUUUGUACUUUUCCUCGAUACUGUACAAUGUAUGCAUUGCUAUAUAGCACGUUAUUCCCGCGCACCAUUAAAUUAGUUUUCAUACGACGUAAUUCGAAUGGUGUGAUUCCUAAGAAUUCCUACUUCGGUUGUGUAAUUCUUAUGUGAACAUAUUUUCACAUAUAUCAUAAAAGUAAAUUUAAAUCAUAAAUAGUCAUUUUCCUACAUAAUUUGGUUAUUCUGUUUCAAUAUCAAUUUUGUUAUUUAACUUUCUUAUCUUCCCAUAGUAUUAAUAAGUGCUUAUGAUAAUAUGUGCUGAAAUGCCUUGUGCUUAAAUAUCGUAUGAGUUGUAUUAUCGAUAAUCAAAAUGUCGACGUUAGAAUAUCGUGCUUUGAAAUUACUACGCAUAAAUGUCGAGAAUCUUCACGUGUUCUUCUGUUUCUAGAAAUUUGUUAGAAAUGCGAGGUCUCUCCUUCUACCUUAUUGUCUGAAUCAUUUUAUUUAUAUAUAAUUGCGUUCAAUUGUUGUAGUAAUAAUUGUAUACUAGUAGAUAUAUUUAAUUUACCCACACAUUAUAAUACUUAUAAUUAACUAGNNNNNNNNNNNNNNNNNNNNNNNNNNNNNNNNNNNNNNNNNNNNNNNNNNNNNNNNNNNNNNNNNNNNNNNNNNNNNNNNNNNNNNNNNNNNNNNNNNNNNNNNNNNNNNNNNNNNNNNNNNNNNNNNNNNNNNNNNNNNNNNNNNNNNNNNNNNNNNNNNNNNNNNNNNNNNNNNNNNNNNNNNNNNNNNNNNNNNNNNNNNNNNNNNNNNNNNNNNNNNNNNNNNNNNNNNNNNNNNNNNNNNNNNNNNNNNNNNNNNNNNNNNNNNNNNNNNNNNNNNNNNNACGUGUUCUUCUGUUUCUAGAAAUUUGUUAGAAAUGCGAGGUCUUUCCUUCUACCUUAUUGUCUGAAUCAUUUUAUUUAUAUAUAAUUGCGUUCAAUUGUUGUAGUAAUAAUUGUAUACUAGUAGAUAUAUUUAAUUUACCCACACAUUAUAAUACUUAUAAUUAACUAGGUCCUGAUACGUUUUGUAUAAUAUGAGGAAUUUAAAGCUUUUAAUUAUAUUAAUGUUGUUUAAUAUAAUAUAUGUUUAUAUUCAUUAUUAUUAAUUCUCUUAAUAGUUUUAAUCACGUGAUCAUUAUAUCUCCCCUUCAAAUUUUUUUUUAAAAAUUUGUAUCCAUUUUUAACCUUAAUUCUCCAUUUAAUUUAAUUAUGUUUACAGCAUUGUCAAAACAUCAAUAUAGUAAUUAUAAUACAUUUUUUAUACUUUAUAGCAAUUCACAUUGUAUAUAAAAACCAUUCACCAUCUAUUGUUGUAGGCUUUGUAUAGCAAUAGUAUAAAUAGGUUUUAUAUUUCCAAGGAGAAGUGGGUGAUUUAAUUUACUGAACACCUCCGUGCGAUGCGUUUGUCAAGGAAAGGUCUCCCGAAAACAUAUUAGUUUUAUAGCACUCAUUAUCAUCAUGUUUAUUUUUAUUACAAUAAGUGUACUGCUGGCGUUAUAAUACAAGUUAUGUGUAUAAUUGAAAUGUGUAUAAUUAUUUAAGUUAGGCAGAAAUCCUGGUGCGGAGAUCAUAAUUGAUAAUUCGUUUUCUUCUCCUUUGCCUACAAUUCACGGCCACUCUCCUCUUAAACUUUUCUUUGACCAAACCUCUCACUUCGCAUACACUGGUUAGUAGCUAUCCUUUGAGUGUCCUUAAAUGAUUCUCAACCACAUCGAAUAACCUAUUUUAUUUUAUCUAUCUCUUCUUGUCUUUCCUCCUACGUAUAUUUUCAUUAUCGUUCUUAAUGCUUCUGAUUCUUCUCUCAUUAUGCUUAAUCUACUUCUUAAACAUUCAUUAUCUUACCGUUUAAGUCACUUCACCCCUCCGCCUAAAUAUUAUCAUUUGUGAAUCAAUUAUUCUUUGUUUUCUUUUUUUCUGUCUACCGCCUAACUUCUUAAUCAUAAAAAAUAGUCGGUUUCAUCAUACUCUUAUGAAAUUUACCUUUAAGUAUCAUUGGAAUUUUCUUGUAAAAUAAAAUACCUGACGAUUCUCUUCACUUUAUCCAUUCACGUAUAAUACAAUGUUUCAUAUCCUAUUCUUAAUUUUUUUUCGUAUACGUCUGUAACGGGCCCAACGUAAUGAUGAAGACUUAGAGAAAACCCGUUAAAUUAAAUAAAAACUCCAACUUGAGUUACAAUAUUAAAUUAAUAUUUCAAAUAAAAAUAAAAGUUGAAUAAUAAUUAUCUUCACAAAACAUAAUAAGUCCAAUAACACAAUUCAAAACAAUUCAGAACUCGUCUGAUUAGGGCGGCGUUAUACGCUGUUAUAUGCUCGGAGGACUUCCGCAACCCGUUCUUAGUCGCUGUUAUCUUCAUUAUUUCGUUAUUAGAUAUUUUUAUACAUCCUAAAAUUAAUUAUCUAAAUAUUGCUCAUCGGUUUUAUGCGUAUUAUAUUUUUGCCUUACGACAGUUGUUUUAGACUUAACCGCGCCCUUGGUAUAUUUAUUGUAUUUCGGUAAUUUUCCAAAUAAAAGGGUGAAAUACCUUAGCAAUUCGGUUUAUUACAUUUUAAUAUUAUUUUGGUACGAUCAUCAUGCGAAAGGGUUGUCGUUUUUACUAUCCGAAUUCAAUUCUUAGGCCGUGGUUUUUAUACCUGGAUGCGGUUUCCUACGGGUUGGUUCUCAUUUUCGAAGAACUCGGCGCGCAAGCUAUUUAGCCCGGCAAUUACUAUGAGUUCACCAUAAUGGCGCGUAGACACGUAACACGUCCCCCCCUUAAGAAAAGAUAUAUGGCUCCUUAAGACAAAAAUCUCUAUCAUAUUCAUACUUUGGACUUGUUUAUAAUAAUAAUUAAAAAUUAAGCUUGCAAUUGUUCAGCAUGCAUACCUGCAAUUCAUAUUUAAGCAAGUGUACAUUUGUAUUAAAUAAUAAGUAAAAUUAUCAAAUAUUUUUAAAAUAAUCAUACAUAUUGUAGUUUUAGUGAUUAUACAUAUAGUUAAAAGUGAUUAUUACAGACGUAUUUGGUCACAUAUAGGUGAUUACAUAAAUCUAAGUUACACUAUUCGUGAUUAUGGUUUUAGUGAUUCAUAUUUGAACAAAACUCAUUUUAUAUUAUCACCGAGAAAGCAUCGCCAUAUCAAUUAAUAAAGUUCAUUGAUCUAUUACCAUAGAUAAUACAUAAUGGAUAAGAUAUUUUAUUCCAGACUACAUGCUCAAUGAGCCCCAAAGUAAACAUAAUGGUAACUGUAUGGUAUUAUUGGUUACCAAACGUUAUUAUUUAUGAUAAAAGAUAGUACCUUUGGCGGAUUAUAUAACACAAAAAUCUAAAUUUGUUUUGGUUAGAAUUCCGUUCUUUUUUUUAUUUAAAUUUACUUUUAUUAAACUUUUAUUCAAAUAUAUUAUUGCAGAUGAUAUCAACUUAGAUACAUUAUCUUUAUAUGUUGAUGACGUUUGUUCAUACAUUGCUGGUUUUAUGGUAAAAACACCAGAAACAAGAAUAAAUUGUAAAUCAUGUAAAAUGCAGCUUCAAUAUGAUUACCAAUGACGAAAGUCAUUUGAGUAUAAUCAAAGAUAAAAGGGGCCUAAAAAGCCAAGUAAAGAUGUUAUAUCAAUAUGCAAAAUAUCAGAAAAUAUAUUUCGAUAACACCACAUGAAAUCCAUAAUAAAAACAAAAAUUAAUUUUCUGCUUACAAUAAAUAAAGUUUAAAAUGUUUUACACAAUAGGUUCAAUAUAUUUAAAAAAAAUGGAUUGUGUAUCUAUUGAUUCUAGUACCUUACUUGAUGGCAUUCAACAAUUUGACUCAUAGAAGCUAUUAAUAGAAAAUGUAAUACAAAAUAUAUCAAAAUUAGACUAUUCCGUGAAUCUAGAAAAACGAAUAACAUUCUUAAAAUUGAGAAAAAGUUUAAAAAAAAUUCCACAUUUUAGGAAUGAGUAAAAAAUGGGCAUUGCAAACUUUUUAAUAAUUUAAUUAUACCAUAUUUUAUACUUAUGACAAUAUUUGGUACACUUAUUUUUUUAUACUUGGUAAUAACCAUUAUAAUAGAUGUUUUUACUUACAUUUUAAGGCAUUUGGAUAUUGUGUUUUUUAUACUUUUGUUUGNAGUUAGAGACCAUGUUACUACACGUAUGAAAUGAUUUACUAUUAAGUAAAUGUAAUAAUUAUUAACUAUUAUUAUUGUAAUAUUGAACAUUAUUAAACUAAAAUCUUAUUAUAUGAAAUAUCAAUAAGAAAUUAUAAAAAUAUUUAUUGUUAUCAGACCUUUUUAUUUUGAUACUAUUAUGAUGGUUUGAACCAGAAAUGUGGUAUCUUCCAGGUUCUUUUUGCAUGCUACCUGAUACACGAUUCAUAUAUGAAUGUCCCAUCCUUUAUGUAUUAUCUAUUUCUAUAACUAUGCUCUCUUAGAAGUCACAUACUGUUUAUUAUCAGUGUAUAUUUUUUAUAUAUAUUGUUAAUUCGCUAGUAUAGUUAAUAUAAUAAAAUGUGAUUGAUACAGGUACUAAUUUUUUUUGUUUUUUUUUUAACCAAUGGAAAGAGAAGAACAUUAUAAACGGUAUGUAAUAUUAAUCUGGUGUUGAAAACAGUACCAUUACUAGCAAUACUAAGCAAUACUAUCGGCCGAACCCCACUCAGAAUCGUUUUUUGGUUAGCAAUAGUUAAUUGUUGCUUACAGAUAUAUAUACAUGUACCUAUAAGCUAACUAUAACGGUACCUGCGUUCGUCCCUAUUAUCCUAAGACAGCUUUUUAACCUUUUAAGCACCUUUUACUGAAUUUAAAAUUUAAUAUUUUUUUAUUGACUACAACCUAAAUUAUAAUGUAAUAUUAUUGUGAUGAUAAAGCGGACUAUGCGAUAUCGCCGCAUGAGUUAUAAUUUUCUAAACGCAGAAAAACCACAACGAAUUAGAAAUGUCAAUAAUAAUAUAAUAUACUAUAUAUUACUAUAUAGUAAUUAAAUAAAAAUAAAACCAAAAUUGUUGUUAUCUUCCAUAUUGACAGAAACCGCAUUUGAGACUUUAUUAAAAAUCUACUUUCAUCAUAACCUUCAUGCAAAUUUGGGGGAUAGGAGGUUUGAACCCCUUAAAUCCCCCUUUGUAUACGCACCUGGUGUUUACCUUGUUUAAUAUACCUAGUUUAUUUAAAUGAACCAGAGGGUCAGGAGUAAAUCCCCAAACGGAGAUUCAAAAAUCUUGUUCCCCAAAUUUUUGCCCCAGUCCAAUAAUCGUUAUUUUAGAUUUAGCAGACCACAGAAAGAUUUGUAUUGAUUUUUCUAUAAAACCUGCUAUAUUUAUAUUAAUUUUAUCUGCCUGUUCAUACAUUUUCUACCAAAAACCAUGCUCCAUUUUUUUUAAGUGGAGGAUCGUAUAUUACUUUCCACCUUAGUACGAUAAAAAAAACAAAAUUAAUCAUUAUUCCCGUUUUUCCUUAGCUGCAUUCCGGUUUUUUUCGGUUAUUAAGACGACUACAAGGAAAAUAAAAAAUAAUCCUCUGUUCCACCAACUAGAUAUGAAAUUCCACACAAUUUAUAAACAAAAAAAAAAAGCGCACAUCAUAUUCAUACUAAAAAAUACCUUGUUGCGUUUAGAACUUAAAAAUAGCCAAUUGGUGCCAAAACAUCAAUAACAUAAUGCAUAUAAUUUUAUAAUUUAAAAUCGAAAUAUUAAGAGGACUUGAUAUAUCCGUAAAUUGAGCGUAAAAACAUAGUUAUUAAGUGACAGUACCAUUUUAAUAAUAAUUAUGGUAGAUCGAUAAUUUUUUUUUAUUUUAAUAAGGAGAACUUUAGUUGUGACGUAGCUCUUUUCACUGAUACAAAAAGGUUUAAAAAUAUUAAUAUUUAAAGUUUGUAAAUAUUUCUAGUUUUUUGUUUAUAAAUAUAAAAUUAUUAAGAUAAGUUAUUGAAAAAUAGAAAACGCUACGUCAAAGACAAUUUUUUCCUUAUUAAAAUAAAAAAAAAUGGUUUUAUUUUACGUAAAACUGUUUUUCAGUGUAAAAACGUUGUCAAAUAAUUAUUUCGCAAGGGCGGAGAUACGUUGCACGCCACGCCAUCUCUCGUGCGUUGCUCUUGAACAGCUUUUGGUAUCACGUUCUCUUAAUGCCAGGAACUUGGCACGUUCGAAAUUUGGGCUUUCCUAAUUUAUUUCACAAAUAAAAUAUGAAAUUAUCACAGUAGAUUAAUCGAGAAUACCUAUUGUGUAUUUUGCAUUACCACCGACCUCGAUUAAAGAUAUACUGGUUUAGCCGGUUACUAAUAUGUUAGUUUUGGAGUAGGUUGUAGUUGGAGUAGGAAUAUAAUACUAAAUAAUAACGUUAUAGAUCGCACGGUAUAAUUGUUAGAGCGAAAACAUGUGUUCGUGGUGAGGAAUGGCGUACGGUAGUUAUACGCGGUAACGUUGACGAGCGGAGCAUCGCGAACAAUUGUAUCGGUGACUACGGCGGCGGACGAUGCGGCGACCGGUCGCCGGCCGGUGCUCGGAGGCGUGGCCAACGUCCGCGCAGUGCGAUUUUCCCCGGGGAAGAAGCAUUGUGGCGUAUAGUCCGCCACACUGGUUACACAACGAGCUUUGAUAAAAACAUAGAAUUUAGUUUCCGAAGUGUCUUCGAUAAUUCGUUGAUAUGAAAAGACAACUAACAUUCAUAAUGGACUAAGAUAUCUUAGGGUUCGUGAUAAUUAUUAUUUAUUUACCGUCACUGCAUCAGUUCAUUUUACACUUAGAUCAUUUAUUAAUGAUAGAGCUAUUGACUAAAUAUUUGAAGCAAACAUAACUAAGGGGAGUUGGAAAAAAUACGCAUGCACUAAAUAUAUAUCACGCGCAAUUGAUCGAAUUCAUGUAAUCACAUAUGAUGUGUCUAUCAUUACUGUCUGGUGGUAUUACAAUGAUAAUACGAUAAAUAUGCGACGAGUACUGAUACGCAUGCGCAAUAUACAUCAGUCUCCUUAUCACUUGUUAAUAAUUAUUUAUUCAAUUCGUAGUAUGCGCAUUUAUCAUGUAGUAUCUUUAUGAUCCACGAUUUAAAAUAGACAGGUUGUGCAACAAAACCUAUAGAUUCUGAGGCGCAAAGUUUCCAUACGAGUAUUACUUGUAAGAAUUAAUAUGACUAUCGCUCUGGUGCUCUAAUGGUCAAUAAUCGCAAUAUUUUUUUUUUUCAAACCACAGCACAUAUCAUUCAUCAUUAUUGAUAUAACGAUAUAGGUAUUUUCAUUUUGUUAGUAAAAACAAUUAUUAUUUAUUACAACAUUUCCUUAUUUUCUCAUUAUUCUUACUAAUAUAUAUUUUAUUUUUUCUAUUUUAUAAAAAUAUUUAUUGACCCAAUACUGGGUCACGACUUAUAGGUUGGGAAACACAGAUAUAUAUUCUUGUAUGAAGUAUGGAAUGGUUGAUUUGGGUUUUUACUAAUAACUGUUAUUGAAAAUCUAUUUUUCAGAUCUAAAUUUUAUCCAGAAUAGAUAUCAGUAUCUUAGUGCCAGUACGUAAAUUAAUAUUUAAUUAUUUAUAACUAUACAUAUAAUAUACGUAAUUUCUUUAAUGUAUAUUUGUUAAGGCUUUUACCAUAAACAAUGUCAGUAGUGUUCUAAAAAUAUAAGUUUCAAAUUACUUAUCUAGAUAAAGAAAAGAAAUAAUUAUAGCCUAGGGUCAAUUAUGAUUUACGCUUAAAUUAAGAGAGUAUCACGCUCUCCUAAUACAAAUCUAUCUAGAAAAAUGAUUUGAAAAAAUGCAAAACAAUUAAAUAAUUUCAAUAACCG
rnacentral:lncRNA from 1 species